rnacentral:rRNA from 1 species
GCGGAGGAAAAGAAACCAACAGGGAUUGCCCUAGUAACGGCGAGUGAAGCGGCAACAGCUCAAAUUUGAAAUCUGGCUCCCUUGGGGGUCCGAGUUGUAAUUUGUAGAGGGUGCUUUGGUAUUAGCUGUGGUCUAAGACCCUUGGAACAGGGCGUCACAGAGGGUGAGAAUCCCGUAUGUGGCCAGCAGCUCUUGCCUUGUAAAGCCCCUUCGACGAGUCGAGUUGUUUGGGAAUGCAGCUCUAAAUGGGAGGUAAAUUUCUUCUAAAGCUAAAUACUGGCCAGAGACCGAUAGCGCACAAGUAGAGUGAUCGAAAGAUGAAAAGCACUUUGGAAAGAGAGUCAAAAAGCACGUGAAAUUGUUGAAAGGGAAGCGCUUGCAGCCAGACUUGCCCGUAGUUGUUCAUCCAGGCUCUUGCCUGGUGCACUCUUCUGCGGGCAGGCCAGCAUCAGUCCAGGCGGUCGGAUAAAGGCCUUGGGAAUGUGGCUCCUUUCGGGGAGUGUUAUAGCCCAGGGUGCCAUGCGGCCAGCCUGAACUGAGGUCCGCGCUCUGCU